GUACAGAAACCAUAAGAUGACCUCUUGGGGAGAGACUGGGUUGGACCAUUUAUGCAGACAAUGCAGCGUGAAAGGCUACAACUUCUGAGAGUGUCUGUUUUUCUAAAUAAUCACCUGUAGGGAUUCCAUUCUGACUACCUGAAAGCCAUCACCUUCCAUCCUGGCAGUGAAUCCUGAUGAAAUGAGGAAAGGCUGUUCAAAGUCACCGACAGGUCUUGAGGAAUCAAGCAAUGCCCUCAACUCCAAGCUUUGGUGCUGUACCCUCGAGUGAACACGCUCGUAAAAAAGCAAGUAAGCACUAGAAGAAAGGACUUCCUGCAAGCUAGCUUUGCGAACGGUGUCAUCAGAAAUCCACAGCCACUGACUGCUGACAGAGAGUGGGUUCUUAGGAGAAGGUGGAGAGCGGCGGAGAGAAACUGAGCCAAAGAAAACCAAUAAAAAUGAGCCAAGAGAAAAGAAAAAGAAUUUCUGCACAGAAGCUAGGAUGGAUGUUAAAUUCUGUGACUAUGCAGCCUCACAGUAAAGACAGAAUAAAGGAAGACAUAGUUUGAAGGGACAGAAAUUAUAAGAUAGGAUACAAAUCUCUAACUUACCUGCAUUCAGGGAAUGCAGCAAGUGGAAAAGUUCCUGAGGACAUUAAAAAUGAAGAGGAGCAGGCACCAUUCAUAAAGAGCGGUUUAGUACCCGAUGGUUGUUCUGCAUCUGCAAGAGAAAGACGACACUCAGUAACUUAACUCAAAUGCUACUAUUAGUAUUGCUAAUAACAGUGCUUCUGUUCCGGCAGUACCUUUCGUCCCAGAAUGUGAAGGAAUGCGAUAUUUGUAGAUGUCCAUGAUCAGGAACUCAUUGAACUGUACGUGUUCGUGACGUUUCAGAGGAGUGCCUUGGUUUGACCAGCUCAGUCUUUGCAGAUGGAUACACAAACACUGAGGAAGCUUCAGCAAUAUCCCACAGAAAAGGAGAGACAAAAUACAUUUUAAAUUAAGAAAAACAGCUGUCGAAGUUAAAAGCAUACUAACAGAACUGGUUACCUUCAUCUCCUUACUCUGGAUAACUGGACUGCAACUUAAUUUGGCUUUGCAUGUGCAAACUCAAUACUGCGUGCUGAAUGAAUAGCUAGCCCUAAAACGCUACCCGUGAAUCUAGGCAGACUACAGAAACUUCUCCUGAUAAUGAAAUAACACCGGUAAAGAAGUCACCUCCAGCGAAUGCACAUCGAACAAAUGUGUCACACGUGGCUGACGAUCCCGUUCAUC